rnacentral:rRNA from 1 species
UACGUAGGGGGCAAGCGUUGUCCGGAUUUAUUGGGCGUAAAGAGCGUGUAGGCGGCCAGACAGGUCCGUUGUGAAAACUCGAGGCUCAACCUCGAGACGCCGAUGGAAACCGUCUGGCUAGAGUCCGGAAGAGGAGAGUGGAAUUCCUGGUGUAGCGGUGAGAUGCGCAGAUAUCAGGAAGAACACCAGUGGCGAAGGCGGUGCUCUGGGCCGGAACUGACGCUGAGGAGCGAAAGUGUGGGAGCGAACAGG